rnacentral:rRNA from 1 species
UUCCGGUUGAUCCUGCCGGACCCGACUGCUAUCAGAGUGGGACUAAGCCAUGCGAGUCAACAUAGCAAUAUGUGGCAUACGGCUCAGUAACACGUAGUCAACAUGCCCAGGGGACGUGGAUAACCCCGGGAAACUGAGGAUAAACCGCGAUAAGUCACUGCUUCUGGAAUGGGCAAUGACUUAAAUCUAUAUGGCCCCUGGAUUGGACUGCGGCCGAUCAGGCUGUUGGUGAGGUAAUGGCCCACCAAACCUGUAACCGGUACGGGCUCUGAGAGGAGGAGCCCGGAGAUGGGCACUGAGACAAGGGCCCAGGCCCUAUGGGGCGCAGCAGGCGCGAAACCUCUGCAAUAGGCGAAAGCCUGACAGGGUUACUCUGAGUGAUUUCCGCUAAGGGGAUCUUUUGGCACCUCUAAAAAUGGUGCAGAAUAAGGGGUGGGCAAGUCUGGUGUCAGCCGCCGCGGUAAUACCAGCACCCCGAGUGGUCGGGACGAUUAUUGGGCCUAAAGCAUCCGUAGCCGGUUCUGCAAGUCUUCCGUUAAAUCCAGCCGCUCAACGGAUGGGCCGCGGAGGAUACUAUAGGACUAGGAGGCGGGAGAGGCAAGCGGUACUCAGUGGGUAGGGGUAAAAUCCUUUGAUCCAUUGAAGACCACCAGUGGCGAAGGCGGCUUGCCAGAACGCGCUCGACGGUGAGGGAUGAAAGCUGGGGGAGCAAACCGGAUUAGAUACCCGGGUAGUCCCAG